GCCGGAUUAGCUCAGUUGGUAGAGCAGCGCACUUGUAAUGCGAAGGUCGCCAGUUCGAUUCCGGCAUCCGGCACCA
rnacentral:tRNA from 1 species